rnacentral:rRNA from 1 species
UACGGGGGGGGCAAGCGGUUGUCCGGAAUCAUUGGGCGUAAAGCGCGUGUAGGCGGCCCGAUAAGUCCGCUGUGAAAGUCGAGGGCUCAACCUCGAAUGCCGGUGGAUACUGUCGGGCUAGAGUACGGAAGAGGCGAGUGGAAUUCCUGGUGUAGCGGUGAAAUGCGCAGAUAUCAGGAAGAACACCCGUGGCGAAGGCGGUUCUCUGGGACGGUACUGACGCUGAGACGCGAAAGCGUGGGGAGCGAACAGG